rnacentral:rRNA from 1 species
AGGGUUUGAUCAUGGCUCAGGAUGAACGCUAGCGGCAGGCCUAAUACAUGCAAGUCGAGGGGCAGCACGGGUAGCAAUACCUGGUGGCGACCGGCGCACGGGUGCGUAACACGUAUACAAUCUGCCUUUAACAGGGGGAUAGCCCGGAGAAAUCCGGAUUAAUACCCCAUAAUAUUUUGAGUGGCAUCACUUGAAAUUGAAAGCUCCGGCGGUUAAAGAUGAGUAUGCGUCUGAUUAGCUAGUUGGUGAGGUAACGGCUCACCAAGGCGACGAUCAGUAGGGGAUCUGAGAGGACUACCCCCCACACGGAUACUGAGACACGGAUCCGACUCCUACGGGAGGCAGCAGUAAGGAAUAUUGGACAAUGCCCGCAAGGGUGAUCCAGCCAUGCCGCGUGCAGGAAGACAGCCCUAUGGGUUGUAAACUGCUUUUACACAAGAGAAAACCUCUUCUCGUGAGGAGAGCUGAUAGUAUUGUGAGAAUAAGCAUCGGCUAACUUCGUGCCAGCAGCCGCGGUAAGACGAAGGAUGCAAGCGUUAUCCGGAUUCAUUGGGUUUAAAGGGAGCGUAGGUGGCCUUAUAAGUCAGUGGUGAAAUCUCUGGGCUUAACCCAGAAAUUGCCAUUGAUACUGUAGGGCUUGAGUAUAGAUGCCGUUGGCGGAAUAUGACAUGUAGUGGUGAAAUACAUAGAGAUGUCAUAGAACACCGAUUGCGAAGGCAGCUAACGAAACUAUAACUGACACUGAGGCUCGAAAGUGUGGGGAUCAAACAGGAUUAGAUACCCUGGUAGUCCACACUGUAAAC